rnacentral:lncRNA from 1 species
AACAUCCGAUGUGAUAGGUGCUAAACUAUAAUGGGGUGUAUCCAAACACCCCUUUAGCUGUGAGAGAAGAAGUCAAAACGUAUGUCAGCUUUGCCUUAGGAAGACAAGUAUAUGUGGUGAUCUUCUACGCACAAAUGUUUCUAUUCUAUCUAGCACAGAUGUAAUAUUGAGACCUCAUGUAGCCGCAUACAUGGUUACAUGAUUGUGGGGGGGGGGGCAUAUGGCCCCCACUGCCUACCUCCGUCCCUGUCAGCCCGACCGUAGUCGCCUCGUGCUCGAUCUGAGCAAAGCUUGGCCACCGACGCCAGAUCUAGGCAGAAUCAGCAGCCGCGGCUGCUUGCCACAGAUGAAUUCGCAAAGGGACCUUGGCAACGACAAAUUCUAUUGGGACUCCAACACCGCAGCGACGAAUCCAAGGCUCGAUUUCUUUAGAGAACAAUAACCAUAAAAUCACAUUUUGGAAUUUAGAAAUCCAAACAAGUCCACUCCAAUUUUGCCAAGACUCCAUAUUUUAAAAAUCCAUAAUGUAUUUGGGGCCCAUUUGGAUUAGCAUAGAUUUUUGGAAUCCAAAAUCUGAAAUUUGAUAUUCUAGCUUAGAUUCCAUAAGCUAAAAUUAUGGAUUCUAAGAAUCCCAGAAGCUACUCAAGAGUGGAUAAUUUGCAUGAAACUGCAUGCGCAUUUUACCAUUUUGCCCAUCAUCCUUCUCGGUAAUUACCCAAUCUACCACUCUCCACUAAUGGGCAGUAAGGGCAUAAAAGGAAUCUAACCAACAAACAACCAUAAAAUGAGAUUCUAGAAUCUAGGAUCCAAACAACACCAUCCAAUUUUUGCCUAAAAUCUAGAUUUUGAAAAUUCAUCCAAAAUCUAGUUUUUCAAAAUCCACAAUCUAAUCUAAAUAGGGCCUCAAUGAGCAUCUCAAAAUCCCCCCCAUCCCCACCCUACCCAAGGCGCCUACGGGUGGGAGGAUCGUGAAUUUGACACGUAAGAGAAUUUCCGACUUGUUGCGCUAUAAGGUCGCGACUCAUAUGAUGGUUUAUGUUUUUAUAUUUUUUUCUUUUAGGUACUUCUUUUGUUCCUAUUUCACUUUUUAUUUCUUUUUAUUUAUUGCUUCCUUCUUUUUUCUUUUUAUUUUCUAUUGUGUACUUUUUAUUUGAUGUGUGAUAUAUUUUGUUCACGAUGUGGUUAUGUUUGUUCCCUAUUUUUUCUUUACCUUAUGUUUCCUUUUAUUUUAUUAUUUUGUUCCUAUUUAUUUUUUUCUUAUUCUUAUCUUUUCUUUUGUAUAAUUAUGUGUAGAUUAUUAUUUGUUCGCCUAUAGAUUUAUUUUCUUGGGAUGUUAAAUUUUGUUCAGAUGUAAAAGUAAUGUAUUAGCGAUGAAGAUGUGUCUGUUUUUUAAUGUAGAAUAAACGUGUUCGCAUGUUGAAUCAUUUGUUCACUUUUUACGUACUAUUAAAUUAUUUGUGCAUCAUUUUUAAUAUUUUACUCACAUCAAACAAUUAUCUGUUCAUAUUGUUGAAUAAUUGUUGGCAUGGUAAAAAAUAUUCUAGCUUUAUUAAUGAAAAAUUCAUAAAAAAUAUCAUCCAAACAUAGUCAAGUGAAUCUUAUCUUCAAUAAUAUAUUGUAAGAAUGAUUUGGGUGCAAUUAAAAUUUAAUUUCAACAUUAUUUAAGAUUAUAAUUUUAUUUAAUUUCAGGUUUGGAUGCACAAAGCUGACGUCAUUGUAAUUGUCCUUUUAUCGCG